GACCGCAAGGUAACCGGCAGACGAGGUAGUAAUACACAGGUACACACCGAGAAGUUGGGCAUAGCUAGCCGAAAGGUUAGGUAAUUCCCAAUAGUCCNUCCGGGGUAAAGGAGCAAUCCGCUUUUUGAGUGGCCUGUGGAACAUCAGCUAGUUGGUAGGGUAAAGGCCUACCAAGGCUAUGACGUUUAGGGGACCUGAGAGGGUGACCCCCACCGAUGGUACUGAGACACGGACCAUACACCUACGGGUGGCCGCAGUCGAGAAUCUUCCGCAAUGGGCGAAAGCCUGACGGAGCGACGCCGCGUGAUGGAUGAAGUCCUUCGGGACGUAAACAUCUUUUAUGCGUGAGAAAGUUAUUGAUGUUAGCGCAUGAAUAAGAGGCUCCUAACUCUGUGCCAGCAGGAGCGGUAAUACAGAGGCCUCAAGCAUUAUCCGGAAUCACUGGGCGUAAAGGGUGUGUAGGCGGCUUUGUUAGNCUUUUGUGAAAGGUCUCGGGCUUAACCCGGGAACCGCAGGAGAAACGGCAAGGCUCAGAGGACGUGAGAGGUAAAGGGAACUCAAGGUGUAGGGGUGAAANCCGUUGAUAGCUU
rnacentral:rRNA from 1 species